rnacentral:hammerhead_ribozyme from 1 species
AACCAGAUGACGAGUCCCAUGUAGAAUGAAACGCACGUCCUGGGU